UACAGAGGUGGCAAGCGUUGUUCGGAAUUACUGGGCGUAAAGGGCGCGUAGGCGGUUCGUUAAGUCCUGUGUGAAAGCCCCCAGCUCAACUGGGGAAGUGCCUCCGAUACUGGCGGUCUCGAGGGGGAUAGGGGCGUGCGGAACUUCCGGUGGAGCGGUGAAAUGCGUAGAUAUCGGAAGGAACACCGGUGGCGAAAGCGGCGCGCUGGACCUCUUCUGACGCUGAGGCGCGAAAGCCAGGGGAGCGAACGGG
rnacentral:rRNA from 1 species